rnacentral:rRNA from 1 species
CUAGAGUUUGAUCCUGGCUCAGAGCGAACGCUGGCGGCGUACUUAACACAUGCAACUCGUACGAGGAUCGUCGGGUUAGCAAUAAUUCGGCGGUUCGAGUGGCGUACGGGUGAGUAACACGUGGAUAACCUGCCCUCGGCACCGGGAUAGCCCGGGGAAACCCGGAUUAAUACCGGAUGGCCCUUUCGCCCUUCGGGGCGGUCGGAAAAGGUAGCUUCGGCCUCCGGCCGAGGAUGGGUCCGCGGCGGAUUAGCUUGUUGGUGAGGUAACGGCUCACCAAGGCUCCGAUCCGUANCUGGUCUGAGAGGACGAUCAGCCACGCUGGGACUGAGACACGGCCCAUACUCCUACGGGAGGCAGCAGUAGGGAAUCUUGCGCAAUGGGCGAUAGCCUGACGCAUCGACGCCGCGUGCGGGAAUACAGCCUUCGG